UACUAGUUAAGUGCCCGUGCGUUGCUACGGGAAUCACUUACGGGUCAUCGCAUAUGCAUGCAUGAAUCAGUAUUUUAAUUAAAAAAAACUUUGUCGUGGUUCUGUUUUUUACAACAUCAUAUAUGUGAUAGACAUGUAUUCAUUUAAACGAAGGAUAAGAUAUUGCAUAUCAUAUACUUGCCAAUGUAAAUAUACCAAGGAACUCAAGAGCAACAUAUUUUUACCAUGAGAACAACUUCUACACUUCACCGUGCAAGUUCAGCCUACAAGUCUCACAAAAAAUGACAAAGCAGUAAAAUAAAAUUAAAAGGUGGAUCAUGUAGUUCACUCCCUCAUCAUUGAACCCGAGAAAAAAAAGCAAAUACUAACUCAUUGGUAUAACACUUCAGUUCACCUGACGCUAAAAGACCAUUUCUUUUUGUCCUCCACAAGAAAUCACUAAACUAUAUCAAGGAUCUAAUUACUCCCCCCCUACUCCUGUCCAGCUAAGAGUUUCAACAUUACAUCCUUUAAUCAAAGACAGUAGGAUAAUCUUUCUACCAAAUCAAUCCCUGCAAUGUGACUAAAUACUCUAAAUGUGCCCAACUUAGCACCUUUAACUAACAAAAUUGAUACUAUUUAGAUGGAAAACAACUUGAUAACAUUGACCAAUAUGGUUAGCAAAUGUAUAUCUUGCAAAUCUGUAAAUCUUGAGCACUGAGAAACUCCUUGCUUGGACUAUGCUUUCUUCAUAAUAUCUCUCUGCUCAGCAACAAUCUGUCGGCUGUACUCCAUGCACAUUAUUCAAUAGCAGUAGAUAGAGUAAAGUGUAAAUAGUUGUCUGUUUCAGUUUUACAGGUAGCAAUGUCCUAGCUAGUCUUUAGGAGGACAGGUGUGUGGUGUUAGUGGGUGAUUGGUCAUAGUUAUUAGUGGUCAGUUGCCUAAGUCGUGGAUAGUUUCUAGGAGCCACUAAGUGGUUCCUGGUGACUAAUCAUGGCUUUGCAUAUAUAUUAUAACAUUCUCCAUAUCUCCGUAUCUAGUGUAAUUUGAUAUAUAUAACAUUCCAGUCAAAAACAAUAUAUGAAAUUGUAAAAAAAUGCAGUUAACGAAGUGCCAAACCCUAUCAUGUCCACAAUCCACUUGUCUUCAAAGUACUCACAUAACCCUUAAAUUAUGCAAGCUUUUUCUUUCUUGCUAAUCCUAGGGGACAGUCACUGAUUAGUCUAAUAGUAUACUGCCCGUGCUAACUCUACGACUAUAUUAAAUCUAAAGUUAACUUAUGAAUCCUAUGCCAUAUUAAGUAUACCUUUUCUCAAAGUAUACAUUUUCAAAGUCAAGAAAAAAGCAUAUCAGGGAACACAAUAUCUAGUACUGAAGAUAUAGAACAUUUUCAUGGCAAGGGUAAACACCACUUAAAAUAUGAAGUAUAUGGUCCAAUAGUGUUGAGAUCAAACAUUUUCAUUGGCUAAUAGAGCAAGCCAGAAGAAGCAGCUUGUGAAGUCAUUUUCCAUAUCCGAGUGGUUCUCUCCUGAGAUGAGCAAAGUUAGGUACAAAUGCAGUCCAUAUUUCCAAGAACCGUCAAAAUCAUAAAAUAAAAAUAAUUUGAGUUUGAAUAGUGAAACCAGCACCGCAAAAAUUUUGGCUCCUAAUAGUAAUAAUGUCAAUCCACAAGGAAGAAAAUCUUACAAGUGGCGGUGGGCUGAAUUGCCAUCUCCCAAAUAACAACAAUACAAUCCGAAGAAGUACAAGCAAAAAUUGCAAUAGUAUCGUACACCAUCCUUCCGGCAGGUGAUCCCUUUUAUGCAUCCUAGAGGUGCAACGUAGAGACCCCUUCAAAGAAGGUGUAAACAGUAAAUGAAACAAUUAGGCAUCAAUAUCCAUUGGAGUCCACUUUUAAGUUUCUUAGGCAAAUAUUUCCCAGCAAGUAUACUGGAAGGUUGCGAUCAAUUGCCAUACAACAAAUCAAUGAGCACUGCCAUGUAAGUACAAAAUACAGUAUAUACAAUUUAAAUAAGGCGAAUAAAUAAUAAAGUUACCUCUCCUUUGCUAGACCGAUCUUCCUAGCUACAAUAGUACCAUCAGCACAUCAUGAGAGUAGAUAGUGUGUCUCCAUGCUAACGAACUGCAAACCAUGAAGGAAAAACAAUCAACAAAGUGCAGCAAUAGGCUUCACAAAAGGAGAAAAGAAACCAGUCUUCAGGAUCAGACACAUCUAAUCUAAUACUGUAUAUCUGCAACCUGUCAGUUACCAACUAAAAUAAUUAAAGGAAUGAAUUAAAUAACAAUAAUCUAUGGCCAGCUCCAGACGAUCAUUGUUGAUACUUAGAUCACCUUACGUGGUCUAAACUUUGUUCCAGAGUCUAGACAAAGCUCCCAAAAAAAUCUAUCACAUGAAGAGUCAUUUCAACAACCUCCAAAGUACAGCAGUUAUAGUUUGGAAACAAUGAGCCUACAAAAUAAAAUAUAUUACCUUAAGUACCCAUAUAAAUUUUCUAACAACAUCUAUUGUGCCCUGAAACCAACCAGCAGCCUCCUGAGGCAUCUGCGUUGCAGCCAGCAUGGACGAAAAAAUAUAUCAGUAAAUGUAUGCUUUAAUCAUAUAAUAGUAAUAUUGCUUUUGUUCAUAAUCUUUCAGCUACUCAUAUAUGUCCCCAGUUUUUCCAAAGACCUCUAUACCAGGAGUUUAGUGAAGUUUAGAGAAAAAUGAAAUCGCCUUGGAGUCAAAUUGCAUUCUGGAGUCAAAUGAAAUAGCUUCGGACCAAAACUCAAUCGACCUCUUUGAUUUCCAUAUAAAACUUUCAGAAUACACACGUGCUUCAUCUUUACCAGGAAAAGGAUACAUAUAGGACCAUUUACAAAACCCAUUUUAUCUUUUUUUUUGCAAAGCUAUCUGCAUUUUGAAAAAUGCUAGAAUAAUUUUAACACACACUUUAUUAAUAAAAUUUAUUUCCAAAGAUAAUACUACUUUCCUUGAAAAGCAAAAGGAUAUAUCUUUUUUUAUGACUAAAUAUUAGUUUGUAUUGCAAAUUCGUAUGGAUAAAAACUAUAGUUCUAGAGAAAUUAUCAUUAAUUGCAGGGUUUCACAUACGUUCUGUUUGGCAGUCUAAAGAAUCAAUUACAGGCAAACAAGAGACCUGGUUAUACAUCUCAUGCCUCCAAGAUGCACAUGGGAUUGGACCUAGCGUCUUCUUAGCGGAAUACCAUCGAACACUUAAGAAGCACAUAUUAGAAUUACACGGAUGCUGCAGAUCAGGCAUAGGACCAACCGAUUCAAACAUAGCAAGAAGGGGAGGAAAAUUAGGAGAAGGACAGGGAAGGAUGAGAGAUGCAUACGCCUGCCUGUUGGUGCCGGUGACGAGCUGUGUGACUCUGCUUGAUCUGCGGAGGUGCACUGCCGCUAGGAUCUGCCGUGUGCGUGGGUCUGGCUGUGGGUUAAGGCCUGGCAGCGGAUCCGAGAGACGGCGGCCGGUGCAAAGGUGGGGACCAAGUCGAAGGGCGCGCGACCAGGGCUGACCCGAGCACGGGUGAGCCUGGCGUGCGUUCGGCGGCCGCGACGGCAGCGCGCACAAAGAGGAAGGGCGGGGGCGGGGGCGGAUUUACCUCGAGCAAGAAGAGCACCGACGGUUCGAAGCUCCGAUGCAGGCGCGGAUUGGUCACCGGUGCGCCCUCCAGGCGGUGCGGCGGAUUGAGGGCGUGGAUUGACCUGAACCGUGGGGCAGCCUGGCGUGCGUCCGUCCGGCGGCCGCGAAGGAGCGGAUUGACCUGAACCGUGGGGCAGCCCGGCGUGCGUUCGGCGGCCGCGACGGCAGCGGGAUACAGGACAGGAGGUCCGUGGGGAAGCUGCGCGGCGGAUAGCGCCGUCCGGCGGCGGCGACAGCAGCAAUCGCGGAGAGGAAGGGUUAGGGGAGUUGCGUGGGGGAGCUCCGCGGCGGUUGUCGCGCGCAGAGAGGAAGUGGUAGGAGAGUUUCGUGGUGGAGCUGGACGAGAGAGGAAUGGCCUUGCGGGAAGGGCAGUGCGGGAGAGGCAGGCCGAUGGAUCGGUACGACGAUAUCAUCCGAGUCUUUUUAGUUGUAGAAGAGACUUUAGCUCCGCCACUUACUGCCUCGAGAAGGAUGGGCUAUCUGCCGAGGACUGCUCAUAGAGCAGGCGGUUAAGCCCCAAGGGACCGGCCACGUAUCGAUCCAUAGAAGGCUGGCCCUUUCAAAAAAAAAGUGCUAUGUGCAUGGGAAUUGUCUGGAGGUUGAAGAAACAGUUUCUAGUCACGGCAUGAGCGCAUGGUUGCUUUCUGUUUUUGUCCUUUCACAUUCUGGUAAACUGGUAUCACCAGUAUGUAAACUCUAAUUGCUUUCUCAAAAGCAGAGCUAAUCUCCUUUCCAAAAUAAAAGUCACGGCAUGGGCCAGCCAGCCACAUCUCUCGUCCCUGCGGCCUCUGUUACGGCCCAUGAAGGCCCAGCGUCUCCUCGUCCAUCCGCACCCCGAACCCCCUCAUUGAUCCGACCAUCUAACUGGCGGCGUGUGCGAACCAGCGGAGGUGGAGCGGCGGCGCGGCGACGGCGGCUGGCGACCCUGCGUGAGCAGGCGAGGCGCGCGCGGACUAGACGAAGGAGCGAAGCGACGACGCCUGCGUCUGCGUGGGCGCACGACAGGCAGCAGAGCAGAGCUGCAGCCUACAACGACCUUGGGUCCUGGGUGGCCAGCAGCCGGUAGCAUCACUGCAGCCAGAAGAGGCGCAGGUGGGCGCUGGCCAGGGCGCAGCAGGCUGCAGCGGUGACCCUGCUCCCGACGACCCAUCGACGCCGUCCAUGCUGUCCUCCUCCCCGGCGCCGCCACGAGAGGGCGCCGCCGUUCCCUCCUCCUGGGCGGAAGCCGCGUCCGCGGCGGCGCUCCGGCACUACCGCUCCCUGGCCAAGAAAGGGAAGCCGCAGGGGCGAGAGUCCACGGUCCUCGCCGCCUUCCUCCUCUCCACUCCGCAUGACCCGCGCAGCCUCACUGUCCUCUCCAUGGGCACCGGCACCAAGUGCCUCGGUGCCUCGAUGCUCAGCGACCGCGGGGACCUCGUCCACGACGCGCACGCCGAGGUCAUCGCUCGCCGCGCGCUGCUCCGCCUCGUCUACUCUGAGAUCGGCCGCGGCGCCCCGCCUGAUUGGCUGGUUGCUUCCGGGGAUGGUGGGAGAUGGAGGCUUAGGGAUGGGCACUGCCUUCAUCUUUACAUCACCCAACUCCCAUGUAUGUACCAUGGCAGCGAGUAAACACUGAUGUUCUUUUGUUUGGAUUUCGAUUGCUUGUCCUAGAGCAUGCUAUGUAGGAGUAGAAGACAAUGCUGAGCUAGGAAUAGCGAAAAUUUGCAUUGCCCGGACUAAUUGAUCAGCAACCCUUCAUCUUUGAAUGUAAAUUGGUACUUCUGCUGCUGCACUUUCUGAGACCUGUUCUAUCAUUUUUCAAGUCUGUUGUGGCAAUAUCGUGAAAUAGUUUAAUUACAGAACAUAGUUUGAUGGUUCCAGUUCAUUUGGUAAAAUUUUCUAGGUGGAGUCAUGGCAGUACCACUGUCACAGUCCGAGUUACCACGGGAACAGCUGGAUAGUGUGAAUGGAGGUAUGCUUCUAUCUUGAUGUUGUUGUUAUGCAUAGCAGUGGUAAUUUUCAAGUUUUAGGUAUGGCAGUGUCUUCCAUGGUCCAUGGCCUGGUAACAAUUAGCUUGAGAAUUGUUUAGUUUACCAAUCAGAUAGAUUUUAGUUAUGAUGGUUACAUGAUUUUGUCUGCUGCCAUGAUCAGGGAGAAAAUAGUAGCAUGGUAGUGUGGUGCUCCUAGCUAGAUGAAUUUGACCUCUCUGCAACUUCCAGCUAAACUGGAACAGUGGAACUGGACUGCUUACAUUCAGCCUAACUGGCACUCCAACAGCCAGCCAGCAACAUCUGCAGCCCAAACAGUGGUUGUGACUGUUGCUGCAGCCAUGAAGAAGCAAACAGCCGGAGCUUGCUCUCAGUUCUUCAACUGGAGCCGAUUGGCUGCACAGCACAGCUACAACGCAACUUUAAGUAGAAGUGAGCAGAGUUUGAUAUGGUCUGUAGGUGUUUGAUACGGUCUGCAGAUGUUUUAAACAGCGAAACAACACAGUUUUUCAAUGCUUAAUGAGGGAUCACGUUUAAACUCUCUAGGUGUUUGAUACGGUCUGCGAGAUUGGUAAAUGUCGGCCUUUGUGUCCAUUGGUUCUACCAACAUAAGUUGAAUUCAUUGUAUUGCCACAAUUUAACAAAAGUAUGUUUCCUCCUAUUAAUUUGUCAUAUAUUUUCUAAUACAACUAUACUACUCUGUAUAUCAGAUAUUAGCUUUGUUCAGAGGAAGCCAGGGCGGGGUGAUACAACAUUGUCCAUGAGCUGCUUUGACAAAAUCACCCGCUGGAGUGUUGUAGGAAUUCAAGGUUCGGUGUCCAUGACAGUCUCUGAGUCAAUUACACUUCUAUGGAUAAGAUCAGAAUUUUUUAACAUGAGCUAUUUAUCAUGUAACUGUAGUUAUAUAUGUGGAACUUCCGGCUUCUAUGUCAACAUUGAAUUGCCUAUGCAUCAUCAAUUCAGCAUUGCUAUUUUCUUGCAUCCCAUUACUACUUUUGUCAUGUUAUGCACUUUAGUGGUUACAAAGUGCCCAAAGGGGAUAAAUACUCUUUCUGUGCAUUCUUCAACAGGUGCAUUGCUGUCACAUACACUGGAACCCUUGUAUUUGUCCACAAUUACUAUUGGGCAAUUACCUGGUGGUGCUCCUGAAUGUUUCUCUGUUGAAAAUAAUAUUAAGAAAGCCCUCGAUGCUCGUCUGUCCUCUCUAUCCAGCAAAUUGCCAUCUCCUUUUAAAGUGCAGAAGGUUGGUGUUCCUUUUCUUAUAUCCAUUAACUUCUCCAUGAUAACGAAUCAUUUCUAUCUGCAGCCAAAGGUUUUUGAAGCAGCUGUCCCACCAACAGAGUUUCAACAGAUUUCUGGAGACGUACCCCCCUUGACAUGCGGGUAGUAACGGUUUGUUCCAUGAACUGGACCCUUUUUCCCCCUUUGGUCUCUUCCUUUAUGCAUCCGUUUAUUGUGCCAUUCUUUUUUACUGAAGUGUUAACUUUGUCGUCUAUCUUUCACUAGGUACUCGAUCUGUUGGAAUAAAUCUGGAUUGCAUGAAGUUGUCUUAGGAACAACUGGUAGGAAACAAGGAACCUCAUCAAAGGCAGCACACUUGCCCUCCACCGAGUCAUUGCUCUGCAAGUAAGAGGGUCCUUCCUUCCGUUAAUUUCUUCCGUCGCAAUUCUGAUGCAAAACUGUUGAGGGGGCUGUGUGUUGAGUGUUGUCCCAGGAGAAGACUGCUAGAAGCAUUCAUGUCCCUUGAACAUCCAUUGGUAGGGCAACUCAAGUGUGAGGAGCUAUCUUACCGUGCACUUAAGGUACUUCAUGAUCUCUUGGAUAAACUGAUGUUUAAUAACACAACAUUUGAAUUCGGCUAGGUGCUUCCUAUUUAUUCACCUGCUACCAGCAUUUGAAUCGAUUAUAGACGUAUCUGAUUUUCUUCUGUUGCAGGAUACGGCUCAUGAAUACCAUCACACGCUUGAGCUCCUCAGGAAGACCCCAUUUUUUGGCUGCUGGCCAGCUAAGCCUACAUUUGUUGAUUCGUUUCCAGUUUCACGGUGAUGGCUCAUGAACUGGUGAAUACCAUCAUCUUGUUUCUUUUUUUAUUAUUAUUUAAAAAACAUAGGACUGAUCCGGGCUUUGUUCUGUGUGAAUAUGUAUAUGUUGGUGGUCCAUGAAUGUAUCGAACUGAAUAUAUGCAUGCGUGCAGCUGUCACUUGAUUCCAAGCACCCCCCCUCCCCUGUAUUUUAUGAUUUGAUCAUCUUAACAUCCUACUCUGCCUCUGCGUACUCUGAGUACAUGACAAUUGCAUAGAAAUUCCAACUAAGGUCUUGUUUGAUGUAGUCGGAUUCGCAUCAAUCCAUAUGUUGGGGUGGGUUGGAGUGAAACUUGAACUAAAUUCCAUCCCAAUCCACUCCAACACACGUGGAUUGAGGCCAAACAAAGCCUAAGGGCCGGGUAGGAAUGCAGGAACUAGCCACUAAUACAAUAAAUCAUGCGCCUGGGAAGGAACAAAAACUAUACAAUGACAAAAAAGAAAGAAAGAAAAGAAAGCGUAUAAGAUGGGCUAAAUUUUCAUAAGUAUGCAGCCCAUCUCCACCUCAACUUGCUAUCUUGAGUAGCUGGCGGCCAAGGCUGAGAGGUAAAGCAUCAGUUGUCUCGGACAAAUUCUGAAUGAUAGGAUUUCAAGUUCUUUUAACUCGAGAAGAUGUCAAGUUUAUCAGGAGGUAGCGUGAGCACUGAAUAACUGAUGCAUUCCUCAUUUCUGCUCUUAUUACUGCUCUCAGCACGCGGUGGACGCGGGCCGCGGCUAGUAGCAAAAAUUCCUGGACGAGCCUGCACGGCACAUGCUCCAGGUUGUUUUUAAGGUUCAUCGGUGUCAGGCCGUCGUCAGCCGCUGCCGGUCCAUUUGGGCCUUGGCCUUGUUUAGUUCCCAAAAAAUUUUGCAAAACUUUUCAGAUUUCCCGUCACAUCGAAUCUUUAAACAUAUGCAUGGAGUAUUAAAUAUAGAUAAAAAUAAAAACUAAUUACACAGUUUGGUCGGAAUUGACGAGACGAAUCUUUUGAGCCUAUUUAGUCUAUAAUUAGAUAAUAUUUGUCAAAUACAAACGAAAGUGCUACUAUUCACAUUUUGCAAAAAAUUUUGGAAGUAAACAAGGCCUUGUUUAGUUCCAAAAAAUUUGCAAAAUGUGAACAGUACCAAUUUCGUUUGUAUUUGACAAAUAUUGUCCAAUCAUGAACUAACUAGGCUCAAAAGAUUCGUCUCGUCAAUUUCGAUCAAACUGUGUAAUUAGUUUUUAUUUUCAUCUAUAUUUAAUACUUCAUGCAUACGUCUAAAGAUUCGAUGUGACGGGGAAUCUGAAAAAUUUUGCAAAAUUUAUAAGGAACUAAACAAGGCCUUGUUCUCGACGGACGGAGAUCCUGGAAUCCGGAGGAUCUGCCUGACGGUCUCUGUCCAUCAAUGAUGGAGGCAGAGCAGAUGGGCUUGUGGCCGCGGCCACCACGUGACCCGUGAACGAAGAGCCAUGCCAACCACGUUAUCCUCAUCAGAAAGGCUUGCUGAACCCAUAUGAAAUCCGAUGGUCCUCUCGACCUCUGCUGGUAGGUGGUAGCAGUGGAUGGGUCAUGCUUGCCUGGAUGAUGAGCAAGCACGAGAGGGAAGAGAGGCAGUGUGCGUCUGAGUCUGGCUCUCAGCCAAAGUAGAGUGACUUGCCCAUCCGGGAAGGCAAAGAGAGAUCAUGAUAGCACGCUUAAUCGGCCGGGCAACGCCAACGCCAACGCCCGUCGGCGAAACGGCUCCAAAAUUAAUUAAUCCAUGCAUCAAUCAGUGAGUCCAAACCCGGGAAAAAUCUCCCCUUUCGUGCAAGCUACUGAGAACUGGCUCGCCUCGUCUGGAGACGGAGAAUCCUGACAACGCAUGUGGCCUGCCUGGUCUCGUCAGAGAAAUCGCAAGAACCGGCAGUUCGUAGUACUACCAGUAGCGCGAAAACCAGGGCGCCACGCUAUCCCGGGCCGGCGUUCCUGUCGAUGAGACAAAAGUCUCCGCCCGGCCAUGCCCAAGGUCCGCGACCCACCAAGGCCUUGUUUAGUUCCGAAAAUUUUUGGGAAAUGGACACUGUAGCAUUUUCGUUUUCGUUUAUAUUUGAUAAAUAUUGUCCAAUUAUGGACUAACUAGGCUCAAAAGAUUCGUCUGGUCAAUUUCGACCAAACUGUGCAAUUAGUUUUUAUUUUCGUCUAUAUUUAAUACUCCAUGCAUACGUCUAAAAAUUCGAUGUGACGGGAAAUAUG
rnacentral:lncRNA from 1 species